GCCUUGGUAACUGACUGAGUCCCUCACUAGGAAAACAUCAGAACUAUCCAAUAACUCCAGGUGGGCACCCAUGGAGGGGCAAAAGUGUAACUGCUGAACUAUCUGAACCAUUCUGUGACGUGGGCAAACUGAGAAGGGUGAUCUGGCAGGAAAGGCGAGACCCCACGAGGGAGAUGACCCUGUGCUAAUUCCUUUUCUGUCACUGUCUUUCUAUGAACUCGGAAAAGUAACCGUUUCUGUCACUGUUUUUAUAUGAACUUGGGAAAGUAACUUUUCUCUGGAUCCCAACAUGAAAUUUGACUAUUUUUAUAAAAGCCGAGGAAGAUGGAGGAGGAAAUGAGCAGAAGAAAAAGAAGAAAAACAGGAAGCACAAGAAUGUUAAACCCAUAGAGCUCCUUCCCACAACACAGUGCCUCCUCACAGCUCAGCGUCUCCUCACAGCGCCUCCCCAUGGCACGGCGCCUCCCGACGGCACGGCGCCUCUGGUGGCACAGCGCCUCCUCACGGCACAGCGCCUCGUCAGUUUAGUGCCUCCUCACAGCUCAGCGCCUCCCCAAGGCACAGCGCCUCCUCACAGUUCAGCACCUCCCACGGCACAGCGCCUCCUCACAGUUCAGCGCCUCCUCACAGCUCAGCGUCUCCUCACAGCUCAGCGUCUCCUCACAGCGCCUCCCCAUGGCACGGCGCCUCCCCACGGCACGGCGCCUCCCCACGGCACGGCGCCUCCCCACGGCACAGCGCCUCCUCACGGCACAGCACGUCAGUUUAGUGCCUACCCACAGUUCAGUGCCUCCCACGGCACAGCGCCUCACUGCACAGCGCCUCCUCACAGCUCAGCGCCUCCCCACAGCACAGCGCCUCCCCAAGGCACAGCGCCUCCUCACAGCUCAGUGUCUCCCCACAGCACAGCGCCUCCCCAAGGCACAGGGCCUCCUCACAGUUAAGCACCUCCCACGGCACAGCACCUCCUCACAGUUCAGCGCCUCCCCACAGCACAGCACCUCCUCACAGUUCAGCGCCUCCUCACAGUUCAGCAUCUCCUCACAGCACAGCACCUCCUCACAGUUCAGUGCCUCCCACAGCACAGCACCUCCUCACAGUUCAGUGCCUCCCACAGCACAGCACCUCCUCACAGUUCAGUGUCUCACCAGUACUCAGCGCCUCCUCACAGCGCCUCCCCACGGCACGGCGCCUCCACAUUCUGGGGGCACGGAUUGCAGGGAAGUUGCACUGGAGGAAAUGACAUGCGAGGAAGCCUUACAAUAACCCAGUCGGGAAAUGGUGGGACCCACAUGAAGCAGCUCAGCAGGCGUGGAGAGGCAGCACAGGCUCCAGAAUUGUUGAAAUAGAGGCGUCAGUGUGUGUUGGAAGGACAACACCCAUGACGUGGAGAUGAGCGAUUGUGGCGGCACAGGGACCCCUCUAUGGGAGGCAAAGAGGGAUUCUGGAACCCCUGGCUGUAGUCAACGAAGGGCAGCACCCAGGCAAUUGGCAGUUAACAGCAGUGGAGGGUGGAAGGGAUAGGACUGCAAAAUGGCAUUGGCCUCGAAGAAAGGCUCUUAAGGGUGGAAAAGUGGGUUUAGAAGUUGUGUUAGGGAAUUGGUAGACACCAUGCCAAUGUGAUGAAAUGAGCAGACACUACCUGAAAAUCAACCACACAUUCCUGGAGCGGGACAGCCUUCUGGGAGUGUUUACAGAACAGAGGGGAUGGGAUUAUGCCAGCGUAAAAAUCCCCCUCCAGAGCUUGGCAU
rnacentral:lncRNA from 1 species